rnacentral:tRNA from 1 species
GGCGCGGUGGCUGAGUGGUGAAGCACCGGACUGCAAAUCCGUGAAUGCCGGUUCGAUUCCGGCCCGCGCCUCCA